rnacentral:rRNA from 1 species
GACGAACGCUGGCGGCGUGCUUAACACAUGCAAGUCGAACGAAGAGCGACGGAAGCUUGCUUCUAUCAAUCUUAGUGGCGAACGGGUGAGUAACGCGUAAUCAACCUGCCCUUCAGAGGGGGACAACAGUUGGAAACGACUGCUAAUACCGCAUACGAUCUAAUCUCGGCAUCGAGGAUGGAUGAAAGGUGGCCUCUACAUGUAAGCUAUCACUGAAGGAUGGGAUUGCGUCUGAUUAGCUAGUUGGAGGGGUAACGGCGCACCAAGGCGAUGAUCAGUAGUCGGUCGGAGAGGAUGAGCGGCCACAUUGGGACGGAGACACGGCCCAGACUCCUACGGGAGGCAGCAGGGGGGAAUCGUCCGCAAUGGACGAAAGUCUGACGGAGCAACGCCGAGGGAGGGAUGACGGCCUUCGGGUUGGAAAGCUCUGUUAAUCGGGACGAAAGGCCUUCUUGCGAAUAGUGAGAAGGAUUGACGGUACCGGAAUAGAAAGCCACGGCUAACUACGUG